AUACUGCUGUUGAUGAUGUGAAUUUUGGAAAUAUUCUCCCCUAUUGGGUCUUUCUCCAUGACAGAUGAUGUCCUUUGGCUUCGGUUUUUUGCCUAAGAACUGUAAGUGGUGCUUGCUAGCCCUACUAAGAAUCCUGCCAUUGUUGCAAAUUUCAGAAAAAAGGCUGGAGUGCAGUGGUGCACACGCCUCACACUGUGACACAGCGGGAGAGCCCAGAGCGACAGCUGUUGGAAUGACUGCACUCUUCCUGCUCAAGUCUGACCUUUCCAAGCCUUUGUCCUAUGUCUGGAGACUUCUUGGAAGCUGGAGCACACAAAUAGCUACAGCAAACUUGAGGAAUGGGCAUGAAUAGACUGGCUUCGGGGAACCUGCCAGCUUGGCCGUGUGGCCAAGGUAAUAGGCAAGCCAAGGCAGAGCUAGAGCUCAGAGCUGGAGGGGAAAUUAAAGCAGCAAAUGUAGAAACAUUAAGCCUGAAGAGGCGACGACGUUGAAUUCUAAAAUGCAGGCCAAAGCUCAGACUGCAAGCUGUCUGGCUGCUCCGGGUGUGCCCAGAAGUCAAAGUCCAGCAGGGGCAAAGGUGGAGGUGUGGUCCUGCACGUGGGGUGUUGGGGGGAUGUGGAAGAGGAGGUGCUUUAAGAUCCAGAGAUUCCAGCUGCCCUGGUGCACCCUUGGAAGAAUAAAAGGCUAGGAACUGGACAAGUCAGGCUCGAGUCCAAGCUGCCUGAGGAAUCGGGGAAAGAAUGGAGCUCAGAGUGGGAGGUCAGGGCAGUAUUUAAAAAUCCAGGAUAGCAGCAAAGCUGGCGGUGGCCCCUGACUCUGGUAAGGGCAGCCUGCAGCACCAUGCCAAGGGGGGCCUGACUGAUCAUGCCCUGCAUUUGCAAACAAGGAUUAGUAGGGUAUGAGUAGGAUUCUGCUGGUGCCUGGGAAGGCAGUGCCAUCUACAACUUUACAAAGUUUUAACAAAGGCCUGAAGGACACAACCUUCCCCAAAGUCCUGACGUCGCUGUUUGCUGGCAACAAAUAGAGUCAAAAGAAGAGAGGCACAGAAUGUGCCAGGGGUGUGCUGCGUACAGCCCCGAUGACCACAAGGCCUUCUUGGGUCAAGUUCUGCCAUCUCUGGUUAAGAUGGGCUCACCCUCUAGGACCCUGAUUGAGUCCUCGGACCACCAAGAGUGCCCCACCAAGAGCCUCCCUCUUCUGGUGACUCGUGCCUGCUUCCCGUGGAGAGCUCCAGAAGGGAGGAAACUGUGAGGAGGUGGAGAACGUGGCAGGGAUCCUAACUUUCUUACUGAAGGAAGUUCUUCACAAGUACCCAUCUGCCUUCAGGGAAGAAAACAUAACUCAUUUUGGUCUUUCAAAUUCAGUUCUCAAAACCAAAUCCUGUUGUCAGCAAUCUGUGUCCCAACGCCUUCUUCAGCAACAGCAUUUUCCCUGUGGAAUUAGUUUCCAAUGUUCUUUCUUAAAUAAACCACUGAAGAUUAAAAGGAAUCCAGAUACCCACCACAUUUUGUUUCCUUAAUGAGUAAUUAUCACAUUUCUUUGGCUACUUAAAUGCAUUCUCUGAGUCAGGUAAAGGAGAUCGUAAUAGUUAAUCAACAAGAAGUAAUUCUUGGGUACUUAACAAUAGUCUAAGCACUUAAUCAUACUUAAAAUUGACUAUUAAUGAACCUUAUAAACCAUUUUGCAAUUCUGAAAGUGAAUUUCUCUGCAGGCUUAGAGAUUACUAAGCCAUUUAGAUCUUACCAAACAAAUAUUAUUCAUGCUUUAAUUCCUGGGAAAAGAAAUUUAGAAAAUGAGGUUAAUGUUCAGUUGUCCUUUCCUGAGUUUAACAAUUAUAUAUUCCAUCUGGGAUGCUCUGAACUCAGGUUAAACAUUCUUCAAGUUAUUCCCACAUUUUUCAAGUUAUUCCCACGUUAGUGACCUACUUUAUUAGUAUUAUUACUAAAGAAAAGGGCUGGGUGCGGUGGCCCACAUCUGUAAUCCCAGCACUUUGGGAGGCUGAAGCAGGAGGAUCACUUGAGCUUGGGAGUUCAAGACCAGCCUGAGAGGGAGACUCCGUCUCUAC
rnacentral:lncRNA from 1 species